rnacentral:rRNA from 1 species
AGUGAACGCUGGCGGUAGGCCUAACACAUGCCAGUCGAACGGCAGCACAGUAAGAGCUUGCUCUUACGGGUGGCGAGUGGCGGACGGGUGAGGAAUACAUCGGAAUCUACUUUUUCGUGGGGGAUAACGUAGGGAAACUUACGCUAAUACCGCAUACGACCUACGGGUGAAAGCAGGGGACCUUCGGACCUUGCGCGAUUGAAUGAGCCGAUGUCGGAUUAGCUAGUUGGCGGGGUAAAGGCCCACCAAGGCGACGAUCCGUAGCUGGUCUGAGAGGAUGAUCAGCCACACUGGAGCUGAGACACGGUCCAGACUCCUGCGGGAGGCAGCAGUGGGGAAUAUUGGACAAUGGGCGCAAGCCUGAUCCAGCCAUACCGCGUGGGUGAAGAAGGCCUUCGGGUUGUAAAGCCCUUUUGUUGGGAAAGAAAAGCAGCAGGUUAAUACCCCGCUGUUCUGACGGUACCCAAAGAAUAAGCACCGGCUAACUUCGUG